rnacentral:lncRNA from 1 species
UGCAAUUUAAAAGGACACAAAUGUCUGGAUAAGAUUGCUCACAUUUCCAUCAGAGGCCUAUCAGAACAUAGAUAGGAUAGUGUCCUCUUUAUCUUUAGUGUAUCUGCAUGUAAGUGCUGACAUACUCUUCUGACAGAAAUUAACUGAUCAAUGAUAUGUUUGUUUUUGAGAAUCAUGUAUGGUGGGUUGAUGUAUGCCCAUUUGGGAUAUAUUUCAUUAUCUGGUGGUUGCUGCUAGAAGUGUCCAAGCAACACUUCAUCAAUGUU